rnacentral:rRNA from 1 species
UACAGGUGCUGCAUGGCUGUCGUCAGCUCGUGUCGUGAGAUGUUGGGUUAAGUCCCGCAACGAGCGCAACCCUUGUCCUUAGUUACCAGCGGGUUAAGCCGGGAACUCUAAGGAUACUGCCAGUGACAAACUGGAGGAAGGCGGGGACGACGUCAAGUCAUCAUGGCCCUUACGACCAGGGCUACACACGUGCUACAAUGGUAGGUACAGAGGGCAGCUACACAGCGAUGUGAUGCGAAUCUCAAAAAGCCUAUCGUAGUCCAGAUUGGAGUCUGCAACUCGACUCCAUGAAGUAGGAAUCGCUAGUAAUCGCGGAUCAGAAUGCCGCGGUGAAUACGUUCCCGGGCCUUGUACACACCGCCCG